rnacentral:rRNA from 1 species
UACGAGGGGUGCAAGCGUUGCUCGGAAUUAUUGGGCGUAAAGGGUAGGUAGGUGGUCUCGUUUGUCAGGGGUGAAAGCCUUGGGCUCAACCCAAGAAGUGCCCCUGAAACGGCGAGACUCGAGUUCUGGAGAGGGUCGUGGAAUUCCCGGUGUAGCGGUGGAAUGCGUAGAGAUCCGGAAGAACACCGGUGGCGAAGGCGGUCUGCUGGGCAGUUGCUGACACUGAGGCGCGACAGCGUGGGGAGCAAACAGG